rnacentral:lncRNA from 1 species
GUCUGGUUGAGUCACUUACCCCCCUACUUUCACAUCCUCUAUCCACACCUGCACAUUUGGGUGGCGACCACACAUGCACUUCCUGUUUGUACAGAAAUUGCCAUUCAGACAGUUGCGGGUGAGAAUAGAGCUCCACAAGGGCUUGGAAGAAAGAAGUUGAACAACUUAUUUGGGCCAGAAAGAAGAGGCCUGUGUGAGUUAAGAGUAUUCCCAGGGGCUCAAGGAUUUCUCUUUCCAAAUGCUGAGGAAAUUGCAGGAGCCAAAAGACCAAUAUGUAUUGGACCAGCAAAAACAAUGGAAAGAAUGACUUCAGACUGAAUGCUUACUACAGGCUGGAGAUGUGCUAGAAAGGUGGUCCGGAGCUGAUACAAUGAUGUGAGGACAUCAUCAAGGACCUCUUCUUUGAACUUCAGAUCUGCCAGUGUUUCCUCUUGAGGUCCACAAAGCUGCUCCUCCUCAGGCCUCAAACAGCAUCCUGGAUGGGAAGACAGAAGUGACCUAGAUGAAGGAAUGGUAUACAUCCCAGCCAGUUUCCAGCCAUUAACAGGGAGGAUCUCUCCAGUGACCCUAGCUCCUUGGGCCCCAGAAUGUACUCCAGUGCUCUAGGACAGCAGGCAAGCAAAGAAGAGGCUCCAGAGUGCUGAAGUUCUCAGCCAGAGGAGACUGUCAGAGAGCCCAAGGCAGAGAUGGUCCCUAUGCCCCAUGUUUCCAUGGAAACGUAGGAGGAGUGAUGACAGCCAGCAC